rnacentral:ncRNA from 1 species
CGUUACCAAGCCAAACUGGGUGUGAGCCCAGGACGGAAAGCCACGGGUCUCUUGGAGAUAGCCGGGUUGCCAAUU